UUGGACUUCUUGGCUGCACCAGAAAUUUCCCUUGGUCAUUCUUGCUUUACUUCUUUGUUUUAUUCCUUCUUUGUUCUUAUUGGUUGCACCUUUAUCUCUUCUUUGACUUUCUCAAAGAAAGAAGACUCAAGAAACUCUUUUGCUCCCAUUUCCCACGGAUCAAUGCAAAUCAGAAAUUUGCACCUCACUUUUCUCUCUUUUGUCUCAAGGAAAGUGCUAGGAAGCUCCCUUGAGUCUUUCUCUUGAGUCCAAGGGUUCACACACCAAAAGAAAGAAAAUUCUCUCAACUCUUCUCUCCCUUUCAUUCCCACGGGUCCUAAACCAAAAGAAAGAAAAUUCUCUCAAGCUCUCCACCUCUCAUAAUUUUGGGUCCAGCCACUAGGAAAUGGGGAAAUUCUUCCAUGCAAGAGUGAUUCUAUUUCUCCUUGGAAUCAGAAAUUUGGUGUUACCAGUAUCCAAGUCUAAGCUCCUUCGACUUUAGGCUCUCGGUUCCUCUGCUUUCAGGUAAGGGAUAAGUUAUAUGGGCAUUUGGUAAGUCAUGAGGUUAUUUUAAAGUAUAUUAUGCAUUAAAAUGUUUUUGAUUAGAGAUAUGGCAUGUAAUCAUUAUUCUGACAAAGAUAUGUUCGUGAGCUUUCGAAACCCCAUGUAUAUGAUUUUUGCAUAUUGAUGCUAUUACUGAUUCCACGAACAUGAUGUUUAAUGAAAAGAAUGGAAAUGCUAUGAUUAUGAAAUGUUAUGCAAAAGAAGAAAUUUCAGUAUGAUAUAAAGUAUGAAAUGUUUUCGGGUUAUGUCCUUUGGUAAUCUGAACUCGGCUAGUAGGGGUUAAUUACUAGCUUUCCAUGGAAAUAUGUUAUCUGUUUGGCCAUUUAAAGUAGAGGAAAUGGGGCUACCCGUAACUUUAGGCCAUUUAAAGUAGAGGAAAUGGGGUUGCCCGUAACUCUAAUCUGAUUAAGGCCUUCUCCCCAAUGUGUACGGACGGCGGGGAGGAACAAAACCUGGAGGGGAUGUGCCAUCAGGCCUCCCAAAGGGGACAAUAUCAUACACACGGGGGCACCCAAAUGUGAUGAGGCAUUCUCUGUACAGCUUAUCAGAUAUGGACUAACCAAUAUGAUAUGAACAGCUAUGUUAUGUUAUUAAUCAUGAGAGAAUUAUUUUGUUUAAAUGCAUUAUGAAAAGUUAAAAGCUCUCAUGAAAAUAAGAAGUUUCUGAUGAAAAGAAAGCUGUUCAUUAAAGAUAAAGUUUCUGAUAAAAGUGCAGGUUAUGUUUAAAAGUUAUCAGGUAUCUGUUUUUAUGAAACGUUAAGUUUUAUUAUCAUGAAAGUUAUAGUAUUCUAUGAGAAGAAGUUUAUAAAGAAAAGUUUUCUUAUUAGUCAAGUUGUUUCUAGCUUAAUACAAACUUGCCGAUUAUUUGAUUUAAGUUAAAAUAAUUAUCUUGUAAUGAGAAUAUAUGUAUGGCGACUUUGUAGGAAGUGAAAGAAGUUUAAUCUGGAAGGUUUUGAUAAUAUUAAACUGAUAAGAAAAAUGAGAACAAUUAUUUUCUAUGAAGAGCGUAUACUAUUAUUAUGAAUAGUAUUAAAUACUAUGCAUGAAAAGAUGUUCUCCUAUUCGAAUAUUCAUAGAAUGAAAUGAUCUGAUUUACAUGCAUCCUUAUUGAAUUCUCAUAUAUCUUACCUUUACUGAGCUGUGUAGCUCACCCCUUCCACUCUUUCAGUUAGCAGGUUUUAUUUUGGAGCAGAGGGAGCCUUAGUCGAGUUUUGGAAGGAGCUGGUUUAGUUUUAUAUGUAUAGAUCCUAAAUUAGCAUUCUGACGUUUAGCUUUAUAGUUAUUGUGUAUUUUAGGAUCAAAUAAAAGUUGUGUAUACCAUAAAGUAUCAAGCGAUGUAUUAUGUAAAAGUGUAGAAAUUAAAUGAUUGGUGGAUUAUGUUA